rnacentral:rRNA from 1 species
AUGGAGCCGGUCCGGCGAGGGCGGAGCUUGUCUGAUCCAGCAGCCGAGCGAUACACAGGCAGCAACCAUAGCAGCGAGGCGACGAGGUGGCCGGGUGGCGGCGACGGGCGGCGCCGGGAAGAGCAUCUGCAGCAGGGCGUGGAGGAAGGAGUAGAAGAGGAAGGGGUCGCGCAUAGGGGCCUCGGCAUGACGACGGCGGAGGUAGCCAGCGGGGAAGGAGCUGCGGUGGCAGCAUCGCAGGCUUGCCGGCGACAGGGAACAAGGUGCAGGAGAGGAGAGUCCGGCGAGGAAGACCGUGAGCAGGGGCGGCGUUGCACGAUCCCAUCUCCUGGUGACGGCACUAGGAGGGAGAGAGGAAUCGAGAGGGACAGGUUCCUCUGGUGGCACGAGAGAAGGAGAGAGAGUCGGGAGGAAAAACCAGAGCGCGGGGCUCGCGCGCAGGGAAGGAGCAGUCUUGCUUGUGGCGGGGCCUUGUCGAGAAGGAGAGAGAUGGGGGGUCGAGGAGGAGGCGAACGGGAGAAGGGGAGCAGCGCACGCUCUCCUGGCGGCGGGGUGGAGACGAGGGAGAGGGGCUCGCUAGGGUUAUGGGGGGAGUGUGACUGGGCCUUAAGGAGGCCGGCCCAGGGAGAGGGAAGGCUGCGCCUAGGAAAGGUUUGGGCCAGAAGUGGAUGGGCCCUAGAGAGGCCUGGGUCUCUCUUCUCCCUUAAGUCCUUUUUAAAAAACCUCUAG